AGAGUUUGAUCCUGGCUCAGAUUGAACGCUGGCGGCAGGCCUAACACAUGCAAGUCGAACGGUAAAAGGAAACAGCUUGCUGUUUCGCUGACGAGUGGCGGACGGGUGAGUAAUGUCUGGGAAACUGCCUGAUGGAGGGGGAUAACUACUGGAAACGGUAGCUAAUACCGCAUAACGUCGCAAGACCAAAGAGGGGGACCUUCGGGCCUCUUGCCAUCGGAUGUGCCCAGAUGGGGUUAGCUAGUAGGUGGGGUAACGGCUCACCUAGGCGACGAUCCCUAGCUGGUCUGAGAGGAUGACCAGCCACACUGGAACUGAGACACGGUCCAGACUCCUACGGGAGGCAGCAGUGGGGAAUAUUGCACAAUGGGCGCAAGCCUGAUGCAGCCAUGCCGCGUGUAUGAAGAAGGCCUUCGGGUUGUAAAGUACUUUCAGCGGGGAGGAAGGGAGUAAAGUUAAUACCUUUGCUCAUUGACGUUACCCGCAGAAGAAGCACCGGCUAACUCCGUGCCAGCAGCCGCGGUAA
rnacentral:rRNA from 1 species